CACUUGACGGAAAAGCGUAGUUCUAGAAUCACUAUUUAGCCAUGAAAAGCUCUGGGGAUGUAAAAUAUGACAAUGCAAGUAAAUAAUAUUCAUAGUUGUAGAGUUAUAUAGGAUAAUUAGCUAAUAAAUAAUCGAAAUUACUGGCUAUCGGUGCUAACAACCCUCAAGCAAACCAGAAAAUAUUUUGUAAAUCCCACCAUUUUUUCAUUAGACAGUAGGUAACUGAUAUCUAAAUUGCGGUUUGUGUGCAAACUAUAUCUACAGUAAAUAAGUGAAGUCACGAUUCAUGUUUUCCCAUCCCAUAACCAGUUCCCAAAUUAGAUAAGAUUAAAAUUCAUAAUUGAAAUUUGAAAUCUGUUUCUAUCUCCUGUGCGUCGCAAUUCUAUUAGAAUAGUAAAGUGAUUUUGUCAUGCGCUUAUAUGUGGUUGGCUGUUGAAACCAAAUAAAACAUAUAGUUGCAAUGUCUUUGAGGGAUUUUUGCAAAUCGUUACAACAAUGCGCGGAAAAACUGGAACAAGAAGUGAAAUAUAACAUCAACGAAGCUCACAAUCUAUUUUUUGCCAAAGCAAUGGAUGAAACCAGGCUGGCGGUGGAAAAGGCAAAGGACUAUCACUACGGAGAAAUCGUUAAAGCACUGAACCAGAUAUUAGAAAACGUAAAAUCGCUUCUUUCCCAUCAGGAUAAAAUCGAAUGGCUGAGCAACGAGGCCAAUUUCUCAUCGUCUGAUUUAAAAAAGUGCAAAAAAGGACCAGUAUCGGCAUCACCGAAGAGUGAACAAAAACCAGCGUUUUCCAGAUCAGUUGAAAACAUACCACAAAACACUAAAAGAGACCGGCGGAAGACUGUUUCGGAAGUUUCAGCCCAAACUCUAGAAGCGUGGGAGAAAUACUUAGAUCAAAAGGAAAGCGAUGAAACAGAAGUUCUGGAAAUUGCAACAAGGACGCAAAAUACAGUGCCCCGAAGAACUUUGUCUAAUGCCCGAGCUAGAAAAAAGUUCGUAUCAUCCACAAUGGGCGGAUUUUUAGAUGACAAUGGUCGACUAGCUAGAAGCUUAGAUUCUAUUAUGGAAAAGUCUCAAAAUGACGAAGAGAUAUAUAGGAGCACUUUAAACACUAUUUCCUCAGAUAAACAAGAAAAUAUAGAUGAAAAAGCUGAUUGUACAGCUUCAUGUGAAACUUUUAAUAAUUGUGCUGUGGUUGAUGACCCACAAGAUGAAUCAAGGACUACUUCUAUUGACCCGGCAUUAUCCACUCAUGGCAAUUCAGUUUCAAAAGCAGGUGAAGGAGAAACUUCCACAAGUAUAUACUUAAAGGGAGGAAGAAGCGACACAUUGGAUCUAGUGGAAAGAAUUAAUAAAAGUAAUAUUCAAAAAGAAGAUAUAAUCACCGAGUUUAUGAAAGAUUUUGGGGACAGUGCAGAAAGCGAAAUUGGCCCGCGGCAAGAAGACCCCAUAGCGUUAAAGCCAAAGAUUGUAGAUGUUAUUUAUAAAAAGAAGCAGUCCCAUUAAAUGGGGGAUUUACGUGUAUAUAAGCUUCAAGUGAUUUUGUGAAAACGAUUAAGACUGGUCUACUUAUGUAAAGUUGAAUGAUAUGAAAAUAGAUUUGUUAUUGAAAAGAAAUGCAUUUGUCUUGUUUGUAGCGUUGCUCAAAUCACAAUAAAAUGUGGGAUUUUUUCAAACUAAAUCGACAAACGAAGACAAAAUCCAGAUUAUUUAGAUGAUUGAACAGACUCAUCCAAACUAUUCUUUUUGCCGUUGAUUUUUUAUUUCAGCUUAUUGCAGUUUGCCCAGAAACAUUAUAGACCUUGAAAGUUAAUAUUUUUUAUUAAAACUAUGAGCGGCACAUUUGUGAAAAGCAACUGAUCGGUUGAAAAAUGUUCCGGGAUUAUAAGUUCCGGAAGUUCACAUUAUCAAAUGCGGUCUGAACGAUCGAAGUUGACUUCAGUGUCUCUCUUCGAUGACUUUUCUUCAACUGGUGCUCUUAUUGCGAAAAAUUUAGUUUGUGUUAGUUUCGGUUCUGCAGAAUUCACUUUUUUGGAUGGUCUUUAAAAUGGCACAAACUUUUUCAACUCAGUGUCGCUUGUGAAAAUGCAACCUUCUGUGAACUGUGAACAGAUUACUUAUUGGACUGGCAGAUCCAUUAGACGGGCAAAAUGUAGUAACAUUUUUUGCAAAUGUUCCCGUUCUUUUACAAGACGUGCGAUUACAGGCAUGUGGUUUCUAUUAUAAAAGAAGUGACGACAUUUUUAAACAAUCCUUUUCCGAAUCGACCCAUUAGACCAGAAGAACAUGUCGUUUGGCCACCAAAGUAACCAGACCUAAAUACUUGAGAUUUUUUCCUGUGGAGUUUUAUGCAAAGUUUAAGAACAGUAGAACAGCUUUAAUUCUUUGCAUCGAUUAAGCUCCAGCAGCAAUAAGUGAAAAAUCGAUCCCAGAAUAGUGGUUCUAUUGCCCAGAAUUAAAAGAAUAAGAAAUUGGUCUUGUUGAAGUUAAUGAAGACAACAUUUUUUAAGCUAUCUCCCAAUCGUUGACUUACGUUACGAAAAUUUGAUGCAACUUUUUUAUUUUUAAGUUAAAAAAAAGUUAUUUGGAAAUGAUGUUUCAAAGAGUCAAGUCCGCAUUGAGAACUUCUAAUUAAUUAAGUGAUUAAAAAUCAAAAAUGUUAAAUGUACCUUUCCUUGACUGGAAGUAGCCGUAAUGAACAGAUAACUUGAAAAAUUUUCAAUUCUGUAAAGAUUUUAAUUUCUUUCAUCCAAAUUCGCAAAACAGCAAAAAUGAAUUUUAUAAUUGCGUAAUUUAAGGCCAUUUAUGUGAUUAUUGUGAUUCCUGAAGCGCGGCACAUUAAAUGACAGAAUCACGGACUUAAAUAGGAAAGUGCACAGUUGCGUUUUCCAUCACAUUUCUAUGCAGACAAUGUAAACAUAGUCGGUACUCUCAAUUUCGGUGAAUGAACAAUAGAACUUUUUCCCAUAAAAUUUCUCUUUUGCGCACCUGUUUCGUUCGCCAUUAAUUAAACAAACGCGUUGUUUUACUACUUAUCUCUUUUAUCAGUACGUUAUCGGAGAUCUGCUAUAUUUGCUUUAGACAGGCGUAUAUCACUUUUAGGUGCGACAUUGUCAAGUAAUUAUUUUUUAAUAGGGAGUGACUAAUUAAAUCUGUGAAAAAGUGUCAAAUCUUUGCAAGAGUUGCGAAAUUGUGGAGCAGAAUUACAUUGGAACGACUAUUGAUGCGAGGUAAAACAUGGGAUCUGUAACUUCAAAAUCGCCCCUCGAAAGACGUAAUACCGUAGCAAGACGAUCGCAAAGAAGAACACUGUACAAUCUCAAACCGAAAAUCGACCGACUAAAUAAAGAUAUUAAAAAAUUCAAGGGAAUUACUGAGGACGUAACUUACGUAUCCAUCAAAAACGAAAUCGAGUAUUACAAAAACGACUUAGCACGAAAAGGUAAAGAUUUACAACCCCAAGUGAGGACCGUCUACGAAGACAUCUACAAAAGAAUCAACGAAGCGGAGGCUGCGCUGCAAAGCAAACUGGAAGACAACAGGGAAAAACAAGAGAAGAAAGAUGCGAAACAAAAAGAAAAUGGAGGAACAGCUCAGAGCGAAAUCGAUAGUGGAGAAGUUCUCUCUGAAGUCAAUUCCAAUUCGGAAGACGCAGAAACGGUGGUUCAGGUUCACACAGACCACGAAAAUACUGACACGCAAAGAAAAACUGUUGAAAUCAAAUUAAUCAAAGUCGUUAGUGAUGAAGCUGAGCCAAAGUCACCAAAAGAAGUACGAAUUAUAAGCCCGGCAGAAAAACGAAAGUCCAUCUUAAAGGUGGGUGUUCCAGUGAUGCCCGGAGCAAUUAUGAACGAAAUGUCCGCACAAUCUUUACGAAGCAACAAGCAAAAUUAUGAGCUUAGAAGUGCAUCACCCAAGUCAGCUGAUGCAAUUUUUUCACGAAUCAAAGAUAUUGUCGAGAACCUUCGAAAUGUUGAACUGGAAAUCAACGAUUUCAUUGGAACUAAAAAUGGUAAACAGUACAAUAAAAUCCGCGAGACUCUGAACAUGUAUCUCGUCGAGUUGAAUGGAAUAACUCAUGCCGACCAGGACGUGAUAGAUCAAAUCAAAGUAUGCAGAAACUACAUAGUGAGUUGCUUGAAUUUCCUGGAUGAAAAAGCGACAAACAGUGGCAGGCCGGAAAGUUUUACGAGCGAUGAUGAAGUGUUUGAAAACAACAACGUCCAACCAGUUUCUAAAGUGGAAGCCAAUUUCAAGUUGCAAAAAUUGCUUAGAAAUACCGCGGUCUAAAAAGCCUAAUUGAAAGCUAAUUUUUAUUGCAUGAUCAAAUUUACCAGAUAAUACUUUAAAAUAAAAAUGUUCAUUGUAAGUAAUUGGGAAGACUCUGUUGUGGUAAUACAAUACAACAUUACAGCUAACAGGGUCAUUUUUACGAUAUUUCGCAAUAGUACUCUAAAAUAGGAUAACACAUAGAGACACUGAUAUGUUUAGUUAUUUAUUAAGUAGAUGAAAUAAAAUAUUUAAAAGG